CUGGAAUUUCCUUUUAAGAGCUCUAGUAACUAGAGUCUUGUACAUUAUCUUCAUGCACCUUCUCUUGGUUUGAUAUCUUUGCUAAUGGUAUCUGGUGAAAGAUAAUACCAUUAAGUAUAGAGACCUUAGUCCGCCUACCCCAUGAUAUCAACAUGUAGCCCAAUAAAAUGUACUUAAGUUCUUUAUCUAUGUGUUUGUUCUAGUACUCAUGUGUCCCAACAUCUCAGAGUCAAGGUUUUGCAGCUACUCUUUUAUGAUCAGAGGAAUAAAGAGUGACCUUUGGGUUCCAGUCCAAUAGGAAAAACAUGAAGAUUCAGAUGUUAACUUGGUGGGACCAGAUUAUGUAUAAACUGUUGAGUGCACCCACUAUCUCCAAAGAACAAGUUGUGAUAUCAGAUGCAGAGAAACAAAUCAGAUCUACGUGAAGAGGACUUCAUCUACUCUCUAUCAGACUCCUGAGCUGCCUGGAUGCCCUUAUACAGAGAGUGAAGAUAUGCCCAAGAUGAGUAAAUAUUUGAUGUAACAAACACUAAGGCUUAGAAGCAGCCUCUGGCAAAAUUAUCAGGUACUCCCUC
rnacentral:lncRNA from 1 species